GGUAGUGUGGCCGAGUUUAGGUGCCGAGCUGUAAACUCGGAUACAGCGGCUAGUCCGCUUGCUGCC
rnacentral:tRNA from 1 species